rnacentral:rRNA from 1 species
UACAGAGGGUGCGAGCGUUGUUCGGAAUUAUUGGGCGUAAAGGGCGCGUAGGCGGUGCGGUAAGUCACCUGUGAAAUCUCCUGGCUCAACUGGGAGCUUGCAGGCGAAACUGCCGUGCUGGAGUGUGGGAGAGGUGAGUGGAAUUCCCGGUGUAGCGGUGAAAUGCGUAGAUAUCUGGAGGAACACCGGUGGCGAAGGCGGCAUCCUGGACCAACACUGACACUGAUGAGCGAAAGCCAGGGGAGCAAACGGG